UACGUAGGUGGCAAGCGUUGUCCGGAUUUAUUGGGUUAAAGGGUGCGUAGGCGGUCUAUUAAGUCAGUGCUGAAAUAUCCCGGCUUAACCGGGAGGGUGGCAUUGAUACUGAUGGACUUGAGUAAAGUUGAGGUUGGCGGAAUUGACGGUGUAGCGGUGAAAUGCUUAGAUAUCGUCAAGAACACCUAUUGCGAAGGCAGCUAACUAGCUAAACUGACGCUGAGGCACGAAAGUGUGGGGAUCAAACAGG
rnacentral:rRNA from 1 species